GACGAACGCUGGCGGCGUGCUUAACACAUGCAAGUCGAACGAUGAAGCGGGUGCUUGCACUCGUGGAUUAGUGGCGAACGGGCGAGUAACACGUGAGUAACCUGUCCUUUUCUUUGGGAUAACGGCUGGAAACGGCUGCUAAUACUGGAUAUUCAGGCUGCAUCGCAUGGUGUGGUUUGGAAAGGUUUUUUCUGGGAUUGGGUGGGCUCGCGGCCUAUCAGCUUGUUGGUGGGGUGAUGGCUUACCAAGGCUUUGACGGGUAGCCGGCCUGAGAGGGUGGUCGGUCGCACUGGGACUGAGAUACGGCCCAGACUCCUACGGGAGGCAGCAGUGGGGAAUAUUGCACAAUGGACGAAAGUUUGAUGCAGCGACGCCGCGUGGAGGGUGUAGGCCUUCGGGUGGUGAACUCCUUUUUCUCGCGAAAAAGGCACAGUUUUGGCUGUGUUGAUGGUAGUGGGGGAAGAAGCGCCGGCUAACUACGU
rnacentral:rRNA from 1 species